UACGUAGGGGGCUAGCGUUGUCCGGAAUCAUUGGGCGUAAAGCGCGCGUAGGCGGCCCGGUAAGUCCGCUGUAAAAGUCAAAGGCUCAACCUUUGAAUGUCAGUGGAUACUGCCGGGCUAGAGUCCGGAAGAGGCGAGUGGAACUCCCGGUGUAGCGGUGAAAUGCGUAGAUAUUGGGAGGAACACCAGUGGCGAAGGCGGCUCACUGGACCGGAACUGACGCUGAGGCGCGAAAGCGUGGGGAGCAAACAGG
rnacentral:rRNA from 1 species